UUUACCGCAACGAGUGCACGUCAUCAUAAUAAUAUGACACAUGGUGUUUACGAACUCACGAUGUUGUGCUUUAAUAAUAUAAAAAUUAAUCACGUAAAUAUUUUUCUCGAUAUUUUAAUUUUCCAUUAUACCAAGUUUUUCGUUGGCAGUUUGGCAGUAAAUUGUCAUAGAUCGUAUAAUAGUUUUACUGUGUAUUGGAUUGAGUAUUGGAGUCUACCACACUGGACCACAAUUCUAAAGCACUAGCGUGCAGGCGCAUGAUUCAAAUGACAACAUUACUGAAUGCAUUGAUAAGGUGCUUAAUGAAUUUAAUAUACAAAAGUAUACAAUAAUUAUUGUGAAAGACAACACUUCGAAUUUUGUAAAAGCUUUCAAAAUCAAAGACUUGAGCGUGGCCAAAAGAGAAAUGAUGUUAAUAUUGAAAGCGAGUGUGGAGAAUAUCGUAGAUAAUAUGCUAAUAGUGCUGACGCAAAAACCUUCCCUGGAGACAAUAGCAGUCCUAGAAAAAUCAAGCAAAUUCGUAUGAAUAAUUUGAAAAAAAUCAGACUUGAGCGUGGCCGAAAGAGGAACGACGUCUAUUGAACACGAGUGUGAAAAACAGAACCGACGUACCUUCACGGAAUAUACCACUGGAGUGACUGCUACGAUAUCGGAGCGAUUGACUCAUACCUCUCCUGUAUUUUUCCUGCAUGGUGGCUCAUCCUGGUGGAAGAAUUAAAAUAUUUUAAUACAACGCUCGAUACCGUGAUCGACUACGCAUCAACCUGUUCCUUAAACUUUUUAUGAACUGUAAUACUAGAUAAUUUUUCUAUUUUAUUCAAUUCUAAUUUUUAUCAAUUUUACUAAUUUUGUUGUAUUAUUAUAUAAAUGCAAAUUCAUUGUUCA